rnacentral:rRNA from 1 species
UAACGCGUGGAUAACCUGCCGUAUACCGGGGGAUAACACUUAGAAAUAGGUGCUAAUACCGCAUGAGCGCACAGCUCCGCAUGGGGCGGUGUGAAAAACUCCGGUGGUAUACGAUGGAUCCGCGUCUGAUUAGCCAGUUGGCGGGGUAACGGCCCACCAAAGCGACGAUCAGUAGCCGGCCUGAGAGGGUGAACGGCCACAUUGGGACUGAGACACGGCCCAGACUCCUACGGGAGGCAGCAGUGGGGAAUAUUGCACAAUGGGGGAAACCCUGAUGCAGCGACGCCGCGUGAGUGAAGAAGUAUCUCGGUAUGUAAAGCUCUAUCAGCAGGAAAGAUAAUGACGGUACCUGACCAAGAAGCCCCGGCUAACUACGUGCCAGCAGCCGCGGUAAUACGUAGGGGGCGAGCGUUAUCCGGAUUCACUGGGUGUAAAGGGAGCGUAGACGGCCGAUCAAGUCUGGAGUGAAAGCCCGGGGCCCAACCCCGGGACUGCUCUGGAAACUGGUGGGCUAGAGUGCUGGAGAGGUAAGUGGAAUUCCUAGUGUAGCGGUGAAAUGCGUAGAUAUUAGGAGGAACACCAGUGGCGAAGGCGGCUUACUGGACAGUGACUGACGUUGAGGCUCGAAAGCGCGGGGAGCAAACAGGAUUAGAUACCCUGGUAGU